GGGUCUAUGCGUUGGACACGCCUGCGCAGUGCGCACAGUAACCCGGAAAUGCUCUUUGGUUGACAAAUUGAAAGCUAACUUCUCACAAAAUAGAGAAGUUGUGGAUGCACGUGGCAUGUUAUUUAUCCGGGCCUGACUUCAAACCUCGGACACUCUGAUACUGUACGUGUCUGUAAGAUCCAGCAGGUGGCACCGCCUUCCCCAUGGGCCUGGCCAUGGCAUGCUGUUCCCCCCGCCGUUACCGCAGGCUCUGCUCACGCACCUGCGCCUACACCCUAGCACUAGCUGUGGGGUUUGUAACACUGGGGACCAUUCGCAUUGUUCUGCUCAAGUUCUCUGCCAACGCUGACAACAAGUAUGACUUCCUCCCUGCAUCUGUGAAUCUGCUGGCUGAAGCUCUCAAACUGCUCUUCUGUCUGGUGAUGUCAGUCAGGAUCAUUGUUCGGGAGGGUCGGUCAUGCAGAGAGUUGAGCUUCUCCAGCUCGUCCUUUCUCAUGUCCCUCAAGUGGGCUGUCCCCGCCUUCCUGUACUUUCUGGACAACCUAAUCAUCUUCCACGUGAUGACCUACCUGCAACCGGCCAUGGCCGUGCUGUUCUCCAACGUUGUCAUCUUGACUACGGCUGUUCUCUUCAGAGUAGUUCUGAAGAGGCGUCUGUCCUGGGUCCAGUGGGCAUCCCUACUCAUUCUCUUCUUGGCCAUUGUUUCCUUAACAGCAGGAUCAGGAAGCAGCCAGAACGCCACAUCAGUGCCGGGCCUCCACGCAACAACCCUCUCCACACCCUCCAACUCCUGCCUUCUCUACACACAGCUCAUGGAGCAGAUGAGGAACAGCAGUGCUUCUGAGUUGUGGAACUCUUCCCUGCCCAGCCAGGCCUGGAGGGAAAGGAUAGUGAGGACACUUCAGUCUUUGGGCAUUGGCCACGUUUUGAUCCUCUUCCAGUGCUUCAUCUCUGCCAUGGCCAACAUUUACAAUGAGAAGAUCCUCAAAGAGGGAGAUCAAAUGACCGAGAGCAUCUUCAUCCAGAACAGUAAACUGUAUGUGUUUGGUGUGGUCUUCAACGCUCUGACCCUGGGGUUAAGCAGGGAGGUCCGAGGUCUCACCAUCCAUUGUGGCCUCUUCUAUGGACACAACAUCUACUCUCUGGGUCUGGUGCUGGUCACUGCCGCCCUGGGUCUAUCAGUGGCCUUCAUCCUGAAGUUCAGAGACAACAUGUUCCACGUGCUGACCAGCCAGAUCACCACUGUUUUGGUCACUGGACUCUCCCUUUCCAUAUUCGACUUCCGCCCCUCGCUGGACUUCUUCCUGCAGGCUCCCAUGGUGUUCCUGUCCAUCUUCAUCUACAACGCCAGUCGGCCCAAGGACCCGGAGUACAGCCUGCAACAAGAGAAGCUGAGGGUCAUCAAUGGAGAGGUUUUUGAGAGGUCAAGAGGGGAUGGUGAGGAGCUGGAGCUCCUGACAAAGACCAACACAGACUCUGAGUCUGAGGAGGAGUCACUGUGAGCUGGAAGUGUGCUGCUAAUAAACUCUUUCGUUAGUCUGAACAGCAGAACCCUGUAGAACAUACUGGCUGGACCUUCAUUCUUGCUGUCAGCAGGUUCCUGCUGGUUCAUAUCUGCUCCAGAAUGUUUCUUACAUCUAUCUUGUGGGGUCUUGUUGUGUGUAGAUGUUCCUCUGAUGUGUCCAACGUGGAACAUGAGGGUCCAUUAGACCUGCUACUGUUUUUCUUUCAGAAAAAUCUGAAAAUCAGGAACUCAGUUUGUGUACACGUGGUCCAUGACAUCUCUGAACCCAGAGGCUUCGUUUAGCAGACAGGUGGUAGCUCUGCCCAAAACAUACCCUUUGGUCUUGUACACAUGUCUGUGUGCCUUCUUCAAGUUCUAAAACAACUGAGAGGAAAGGGGGAAUGAUGUUCUAGUCGUCCAGAAGCAGUCUUUGGGAAGAUGGAGGCUUCUUAUGUUCACAAGAAAAUCCUUCUGUAGUGCUCUGUGUGCUGGCUUCAGUUCUCUCCACAACACUGUUUCAACUAACCAGAGAGGAGAGAGGAUGCUCCUGGCUGGAGGCUGGAGCUGCUGCUGGUGGAGAGUGGAGGCCAAUAACAAACGCAACAUAACGGUGAUGUUGAAGACUAGGCAACCCCGCUAGCUCAAAUAUGAUUGGCUGUGGGGUGAGGGGGUGCUGUUUUUUAACAGAAAGGCCGUCACUACCCGACUAAUGGAUUUUUCUGCCACUUAUUAAACUACUCGGGAAUGAAUGAUUUGUUGAUAAGAAAUUGGACUGGUGGACAGAAUGGACAAUGGCAAUGAUACUGAUUAAAACUUAGUGUGAGUGUGUGUGUGUGUGUGUGUGUGUGUGUGUGUGUGUCUUACAACUCAGUUCAUGGGAUUGCAACACAAAUUUGCAGACACAAACUGUGUCACACAUCCAGGGACCAUCACAUCUGACUGGCCUCCAAACAAGAAAAGCACGGAUCUACGACCUCGCAACCAAAUAAGGGAGGCAUAAAAGUGCUUUCCUUACCUUUACGGAAGACGAGGCCCACGCAGAAGACCCGACUUUCUGCACUUUCACGCUGAAUGAAUGGUAAAUUAAAUGGUCAAUGGUCUGUAUUUGAUAUAACGCCUUCUAGAGUCCUGGAAUCCCUCAAGGCGCUUUACAACACAAGCAGUCAUUCAUCUGUUCACACACUGGUGGGGAUGAGCUAUGAUGUAGCCACAGCUGUCCUGGGGCACACUGACAGAGGCAAGGCUGCCAAGCACAGUGAACGUGGGUUAAGAGUCUUGCCUAAGGACACAACAGCCGCGACAGACUGAGCGGGGCUCGAACCUGCAACCUUCCGAUUACGGGGCGAGCACUUAACUCCUGUGCCACGAUCGCCCUGAAGUCCCAUCUCCUUGAAUCAUAAAUGACUUUACAGCUUUAUAGGCAAAUGUGUUGAACGAAAGAGUUUGAAGAAUGUGUGCAUCAACCAAUGAUGUGUUCAAAUGAAUAUUUUUGCUGUAAUGAUUCAUUUCAGAUCUUAAACCACACCAGGUCAGUGUUGCCUGGGAUUGAAGUUUUCUGUUACUUUUGGUAUUUUGAUUGCUUUCAGCUGAAGUGAACAGUUGUUUUAUUCUAUGUGAGUUUGAUUAUUAAAAGAUCAUUUUUGUCAGAAA